CAGAAAGGAGUUCCUUUCAAGUCUACUUUAAGCUAGUUCGGUGACGAUUGCAAACGUUUUCAUCUGCUCGAAUCUCAUGCCAAACAAAGUAUCAUCGUUUGACCCUUUUUACGGUCAAUAAACCUGUGGACUAGAAGACGUUUUUCAGAGUGUUUGAUCAAGAAAAGGUGUUAGGGUAAAGCCAAGAUAUUUCUACAUAUCGAGGGCGGCACACCUGGAUUAUGCGAUUGGAAACCAGACAUGACUAAUCAAUGAUGUAUCCCUACCAAAAUACAACAAUGUCAGGAUUAAGGAUUACUUUUACAUCAAAGCAUUCAUUUCAGAAUGGACUCCGUGCUCUGUAAUGAAUACAUAAUACAAAGGGUCAACAAGGUUACCUGAAUGAUGGCAGGAAGGCAGGAAACUCUUAGGAUGGAGAUGCAAGGAGAAGAUCAGUCAGCGGGACACAAACAGGUGAGCUAACGUUGACGUCUUCCUGCAAGAAAGUAUAGAAAAUGGUGAGUUGUCACCAAGAUUACACCGAUUGAUCUCAUAGUCCAGUCGUCAAAAUGGCAAAUGGGCUUCAUCCAGUGGUACGCCAAAAAAUCACUUGAGUAAAAUACGGUGUUUUAUUUAAUUGCGGUAUAUUCAAACAGUGUUACUGUUCAAACUGUGUAAUGUUACAGUCGCCAAAAAUAUUAAAUAUACUUGUUAAAUAAAACCUCUACCGUACAUCACCUGCAAUGGCUUCCUGUGCACCUAAGAUGCGACUCUAAGGUUUUACUACUUACGUAUAAAAUACUAAACGGUCUUGCUGAUUGUAUUGUACCAUAAGUCCCGGCAAGAAACCUGCGUUCUAAGAACUCCGGCUUAUUAGUGAUUCCCAGAGCCCAAAAACAGUCUGCGGGCUAUAGAGCGUUUUCUAUUCGGGCUCCGGUACUCUGGAAUGCCCUACAUGUAACAGUUAGAGAUGCUACCUCAGUAGAAGCAUUUAAGUCCCAUCUUAAAACUCAUUUGUAUAUGCUGGCCUUUAAAUAGACCCCCCUUUUAGACCAGUUGAUCUGCCGUCUCUUUUCUGCUCUGCCCCACUCUCCUGCGUGGAGAGGUUAUUAGGUGACCACAGAUGAAGUGCGAGCUGUUCAAAGUCGGGACCCGGGGUGGACCACUCAUCUGUGCAUCAGUUGGGGACGUCUCUGCGCUGCUGACUUGUCUCCACAAAAGAUGACCCCCUGCUGGCCCCACUAUGGACUGGACUCCUACACUAUUAACUAGAUUCAAUCUACGUCCAUUGCACCAGUGGAGGGGUCCCUACAUCUGCGGUCCCCUCCAAGGUUUCUCAUUGUAUCCCAUUGGGUUGAGUUCUUUCUUGCCCUGAAGUGGGAUCUGAGCCGAGGAUGUCGUCGUGGCUUGUGCAGCCCUUUGAGACACUUGUGAUUAAGGGCUAUAUUAAAUAAAUUUGAUUGAUGAUU